rnacentral:rRNA from 1 species
ACGUAGGGGGCAAGCGUUGUCCGGAAUGAUUGGGCGUAAAGGGUGCGUAGGCGGAUUGGCAAGUCUGGUGUGAAAGUCCCGCGCUCAACGUGGGAAUUGCCUUGGAUACUGUCUAGCUUGAGUGUAGGAGAGGUAAGUGGAAUUUCCGGUGUAGCGGUGAAAUGCGUAGAUAUCGGAAGGAACACCGAUAGCGAAGGCAACUAACUGGACUUUAACUGACGCUGAGGCGCGAAAGUUUGGGGAGCAAACAG